AGUGAACGCUGGCGGUAGGCCUAACACAUGCAAGUCGAACGGCAGCACAGUAAGAGCUUGCUCUUACGGGUGGCGAGUGGCGGACGGGUGAGGAAUACAUCGGAAUCUACUUUUUCGUGGGGGAUAACGUAGGGAAACUUACGCUAAUACCGCAUACGACCUACGGGUGAAAGCAGGGGAUCUUCGGACCUUGCGCGAUUGAAUGAGCCGAUGUCGGAUUAGCUAGUUGGCGGGGUAAAGGCCCACCAAGGCGACGAUCUGUAGCUGGUCUGAGAGGAUGAUCAGCCACACUGGAACUGAGACACGGUCCAGACUCCUACGGGAGGCAGCAGUGGGGAAUAUUGGACAAUGAGCGCAAGCCUGAUCCAGCCAUACCGCGUGGGUGAAGAAGGCCUUCGGGUUUUAAAGCCCUUUUGUUGGGAAAGAAAAGCAGCAGGUUAAUACCCCGCUGUUCUGACGGUACCCAAAGAAUAAGCACCGGCUAACUUCGUG
rnacentral:rRNA from 1 species